rnacentral:lncRNA from 1 species
UUCCAUGUAAAGGUUUGCCUAGCUUGGAUGAUUUGUACAAAUAUGUGUUCAUUGACCUCACAAGACUCGAAAACUUACAUAUUUUGAGGAAAUUACUUGGGAAAUUAAGAAGGGGUUGGGAUGUACAGCAGGGAACAACUAAUUUAUGGACUUUCCUUUCUUCAAUUUUUAUUCCGUGAGGGAGCUGGUGGCCGUGGAAGGGCAGGAAUCAGGGGCCUGGUCAUGGUGUCAUUUUGAUAACUUUAUCUAUGAUUUUGGUGGCUAAUGUUUUUUGUUAAUGCAAAUGCAAGGCACAACUUUACAGGGUUCCACUGUAGUUUAACUUGCUCCGCUCGUCUUUCAGUUUCCAGUCUUG